AUGAUUACAUGGGCUGAAAAAAGAACUUGAAAAUCAAAUAAGGUACUUAUGUAUUAUUCGGAUGAGGUUUGUUAUUUUAAAUAGUAACGUAUAAAUAAGUCUGAUGCAGGUGUGUGGACACUGUUAAUGAAAUAGAAAGGCAGUCCUGCACACUGUCACAGCCUGGAAAUCGUCACCAGACAUUGGAUAUUUUAAUAGCAUCAUACAAUAAACCAGUAUUUCAGGAUAAACUGAGAGAUCUGUGAUCAGUCAUGCACAUAAAGAUGUUUUUGUUUUAUCAGUUACUGACAUCUGUGUGUGUCGGUAGAGGGAUGGACUCUGGAAACAGUCUUGAACACAAAAAUGAAAAGGUACAAGUCAGAAGAUCACUUGCAGAGGUCUGACACACACUGAAUCUGUAGGAUGGCUCCUGCUGCUUUACUCAUCGGCUGUCUGCUUGCCACAAUCAGCUGCUUAACCACAGGUCAAACUACCACAUCAAUUAAUGCUGUUCCUGCAUCACCUAAUGCAACUGACAUGUCGGACAAUGCAACUAAUGUAUUGCCUGACGCAACUAGUGCAACUACCAUUUUGCCCAACGGGGGUAACACAUCACCUAGCACCACCAUGGCACCCAACUCAACCAACACGGUGCCCAGUGUAACCAACACGCCGCCCAACAUGCCGCCAAAUGCAACCAACAUGGCAACCAACACAGACACCAUGGCGCCAACGCAACAACGCAACAAUGCAACCAACACACCACCAAAUGCAACCAACACACCACCAAAUGCAACCAACACGCCGCCCAACGCAACCAACACACCACCAAAUGCAACCAACACACCACCAAAUGCAACCAACACGCCACCAAAUGCAACCAACACGCCGCCCAACGCAACCAACACGGCGCCAAAUGCAACUAGCGCAUUACCUAAUGCGACUACAACAAAUGCAACAACUCCUCAGGCUUCAUUGUAUGGAAGUUGUGCGAGUCCAGAUCUGUGCUGCUCUGGAGUGAAUAGCAGCUGUCGUCGCAAAAAUUGUUAUUGUGAUGUUGCUUGUCUGAGAUUACGUGACUGCUGCCCUGAUUUUAAACCCACCUGCCUCACAGUGAAAAACAGCACAAACAGCAGCAACACUUUGCCACUAACAGGAACAUGUUCAGAUCCGACUAUGUGCUGCAGUGGCACAAACUACAACUGUUUCAGAGGAUGUUUCUGUGAUGAGUCCUGCAAAAUGCUCAACGACUGCUGUCCCGACCUCAACAGAACCUGCAAUUUCAUCCCUACUACACCUCCACCCUUCAACUCCUCUACAACUCCACCCAUCAACUCCACUACACCUCCACCCUUCACCUCCACUAAAGCUCCACCCUUCAACUCCACUACAGCUCCGACCUUCAACUCCACUACAGCUCCACCCUUCACCUCCACUAAAGCUCCACCCAAAGAUGUUCUGACGAUCCUCACUAAUCUGGAGGUGGAGGUUUUGGCCGAGGAGUCGUCCACUGAAGAAGAGCGUCGAGCUGCACUGCUUCAGGUUGCUGCUUUUGUGGAGAGUUUGCUAAGAGCGAAUGAUACCGACAUCUACUCUUUUGAUGUCACGAGGAUUAAGCCUUUAUCUCCAUGUGACUGA
ensembl:lncRNA